ACAUUUUUUUUCCUAAUUUUAUCUCGAUUAGAAAUAGAUGGGCAAAACCCUAACCAUUGAGCAAUUUUGAAACAUCAGUAGCCAUUUUUUUGAAAAAAAAAAUAUCAGUAGCAAAACUCUGCCUUCCUCUGUAUAAGGUAAAUUGAGAUCUUGGCCUUCCUCGCCAUUAUACUCCUGGAACAACCCAGAAGUUUAUUGUUUCAUUCAUCCCCAUUUUCAGUUAUCUUCUUACACUUUGUUGUUUUACCUUCUUCCCCAAUUUCUUUCAAAAGUUACAGUUUUUAUUACAGUGUUUAUUCAUCUGGGUACAUUGUUGGAGUACUGUUUUUAAUGGGUUUUCACCAUUGAUAGAAGCUAAAAAAUUUACAGCAUUCAUAACUGGGUUCUUAGAGUCAAUUGGUGACUUUCAAUCUUUGGUUAAGUUUUGGACAUGCAUUUGGUGGUAAUGGACGGCGAUGAUUUUUUGGGAAGAAAAUAGAUGUUAUGGGAUGAAAUACAAUUGACAUGGAUUUUGACAUUGGGAUUCCUUUCGUUAUCAUUUCCACCAUUUAUGGCCGCUUACCAAAGAGCCAUUAGAGCUGUGUAGAUUUUUGGUCCAUGGUACUGUGGGGGCACAAUUUUGUGCACUAGCUUUAAAGAUGCUCAUACAGAAAUGCUGGUUUCUAUGGGCUUCUUAUGGAGUAUAACAUGAUGCUCAUAUAGGACUUACAUACUUUGAUGGAAAAAGGAUCAGUAGAAAUUGCUAUGGAAUGUUUGAUGCAAUGAAAUAGGUAGUGUUUUUUGUUUGAUGUGCAAUUGAGUUAAAGCACGCGAAGGGUGGUGCAUAAUCCUCUUGCGUAAGAGUCUGAGAGAAAGUGAAGGAAAUGCAAGAGAAUGCACGUAGAUGACUUUUAAAAUGAGCCAGAAUGUGAAUGUCUUAAUGGAUUGUUAGGGUCCUUCAGCGCAGAAACACAAAUGAUUAUAUGAUGCUUGCUUUUGGGACUUAUAAUGUAUUCUUCCUGCAAAACACAAAUGAUUAUAUGAUGCUUGCUUUUGGGACUUAUAAUGUAUUCUACUUGCAAAUAGCACCCAUGCACUAACCAUCAGCAAGAGGAAAACUAAUGAAUUCUUUGAUGAUGGAUUGACAUGAUGCUCUGUGAGUGUUCAAAUUGUAUUAAUGUUUCCUCACUUUCAAGAAGAAUUAGAUUAAUGGCUUUUUAACUGUCAAAAAUUUUAGGUUAAUGGCUUCCUCUAGUUUCAAGAUAGUUAUGUUGAGUAUCCUAACCUUUGUCCAUUCUGAUGGUAGUGUUUUUGUGCUCCUAUUACAGCUUGAUAAAGAGUAAUUUGUGGGUCUGUAAAUGGACACAUAAAUCACACUUACGGCCUACGAACAAGUUCUCUAUGAGUGUUGAUAAAUAUUAUAUGUGCUUGGUAUUUUUUUUCAAACUUGAACAAGCUCAUUAUAAGUAGAUACUUGAAUCCUGAAACAAAAUAACACCGUUGUCCAUCUCACAGCUGGGCAUUAAGUAUGUGCUUCUGCUGCAAAAAUGGACAGUCAAUAACGUGCAGGUGUUGAGAUGGGCAUUUUUGAGUUUAGGAUGCCCUUGUAUGGCCUGCAUACAGUCACAACUUGGAGACCGACCCCCGCCCCCAACUACAAAGGGAAGUCGUGAAAGUUUAGAGAUAGUUGUCCCCUCAUUUGUUUAUUCUUUUGCCACGAAUGUAUUAUGUACAAGAGCAUUUUCUGGCCAUUUUUGGUGCAGCAGCUGCAGCUCUCCCUUGUAGUCCAGCGAGCGCAGCCAGUAAUGUAAUGUUCACUACACCUUUAAGAUGAAGAACAUCUUUGAUAGCUGUUGAGAGGAGCUGAAUUGGGUGCAUGUUUGUUUGUCAUUUUUAGGCUUUCACAUUGUUUUACAUUAAUAUAUGAAUUAUAUACUUCAUGAUAGGUCAGAUUUUUUUUAUGAAACUUUUGUAUAAAGCUUGAUGGUUCUACCAAAACAAUAAUCUACAUAUAAGGAAAUAUUAUGUACGUACAAAGUAAAUGCUAAAUCUGAAACUUUACAUGUUUACAAUACGCUUUGCUGUUUCUCCUCGAAAUCUGACAAUUCUGCUUCUGCCAUUAGAUUUCUUAUCGAUCAAGUUGUAAGCAAAUUUUGUAAAUUGUCAUUUCUAGGAGCUCAGUUUCUGCACAUUCUUGUUGCUGGGAUGUGCUGACAGCUGAGGAUGAAAUGUUCAUUUUCGUCAUGAUUUUCUUGUCGAGAACAUCAGGAAUAACUUUUUUCUUUUUAUCCCACCUAAAGAUAAGAUAGAUAGGUUCUGUAUAUUUCUCUCUUUCUGUUGUAUCUUAGAAGAUAAAAGGUUGUCGUUUUCUUCUAUCUAUCUGUUUGCUUCCAUUUAUUAGUCUGAAUGUGUGGCUCCUCUUUACAAUGACUUCACAGAUUGUCUUGGUACCUUGCUGACUGCUGCCUUGUAGGAUCAUAUAUUCUGGUUACAUUCUUGUUUCUGCCUCUCUGGAUGGGUUUUUCUGCCCUGUAACACCUGUUGAUCACAAUUUUCAGGUGUUCAAAGUUGGAACAAAGCAAUCAAGAAACAAAGCAAUCAAGAAACAAAUGCUGGUGAGCUAUGUUCACCUGCUGAUCAUCUGUUUGUGUUGACGCUUCUCUUGAAUAUGUUUGCAAGUUUCAAGGAUAUUCAGCGUGCAUAUAGUUUGAAAAAUAUUUGAAAAAUAUGCCCGUGAAAGAUUUUGUUGCGUAGAACUCGGUGCCAUCCCUUUCAUAGCAAAAUGGAGCAAGCAGCAAAGCUCUUUGAAACCAUGCCUAACAAAGAUACUGGCAAGUAAGCUUGCUAGGCAUAUGGAUGAAGCAUGAAGAGUAGUCGAGGUAGCACCAAGCAAAUAUCGUUACAUGGAACACUAUGGUAAGUGGAUAUAUACUUUAUAAACUAUACAAUGAUGCAAAUUGGACUAAAUGAAAUGAUGGCUCAAAUUUUGAACCUGAUCAUUCAAGAAUAGCUGGUGUUUUAGCUGCCUGUGCUCAUCUAAGUUUCCUUGAAGAUGGGAUGACAAUACACAUCUAUGCCUUGGAGCAUCAUUUCGAGUCUUUAGAAGUUGUUACGCUAAAUAUUGGACCAUUACUCUUGUUUUGGAGGUCUUCUACAAGUCUCAAAAGAUAUUUUUUGUUGGAACUUGGAAUGCGACUAUCUCAGGACUUGCAAGCUAUCAAUGGUCAUGGCCUAGAAGCACUGAAACUCUUUGAUGCAAUGGAACACGAGGUCUGAAUGUCUGAUGCCAUAAUCUUCAUUGCAAUACUUGGGGUAUGUAGCCAUUCACCCUUGGUGACACAAGGGUGCUCAAUAUUUGCCGCAAUGAAUGACUUUGAUAUGCCAGUAAACUCGUAACACUAUGGUUGCAUGGUUGCUCUCUUGCGUCGUGCCAACUUGCUGAACACAGUAAUGCAGCUCGUUAAAUCAAUGCCAUUAGAGCCAGGAUAGAGGAUUUUAGGCACAUUGCUGAGUUCGUCCGUGAUUCAUCAAGAAUAAAGGUUGCAAGAGUAAGUAAUGGGGAGUUUAUAGCAAAUAGAGUAAUCUUUUCUUUUCUAGGAGUUCAUAUUCUUGCACUUUAGAUUCCAUUUCACGCAAUCUUGAAGGAAUGAAAAUCUGGUUUGAGUGAGAUAACAGAGUCGCUUUUACAAGUAAUCAAGCGAUGCGUGCGAAAACAAAUAUAAAACUCGAUUAUGUAAUAAUAUCUAUGUAUUUUUUUUCACAAAAUUCAUUGUGUUUUCUUCAUUUUUAAGAUCAAUAAAUUAGAGGUGGUAUAGAUGUUUUUGUUAAGUGAGGUAUAACGGCAAGAGAGGAGUGCAUUUGUACUUUAUUAGUUGAGGGUAUAAUGGGGUUUAUAAUUUUUGGUGUCCCCCUCUCUUCCCCUAUAUAAUAGAGAUCUUUACUUGGGAAUUUGCUACA